AUUGAACGCUGGCGGCAUGCUUUACACAUGCAAGUCGAACGGUAACAGGUUAAGCUGACGAGUGGCGAACGGGUGAGUAAUGCAUCGGAACGUGCCCGGUCGUGGGGGAUAACGCAGCGAAAGCUGCGCUAAUACCGCAUACGAUCUAAGGAUGAAAGCGGGGGACCGUAAGGCCUCGCGCGAUCGGAGCGGCCGAUGUCAGAUUAGGUAGUUGGGGGGGUAAAGGCACACCAAGCCAACGAUCUGUAGCUGGUCGGAGAGGACGACCAGCCACACUGGGACUGAGACACGGCCCAGACUCCUACGGGAGGCAGCAGUGGGGAAUUUUGGACAAUGGGCGAAAGCCUGAUCCAGCAAUGCCGCGUGCAGGAAGAAGGCCUUCGGGUUGUAAACUGCUUUUGUACGGAGCGAAAAGGUCUCCUCUAAUACAGGGGGCUCAUGACGGUACCGUAAGAAUAAGCACCGGCUAACUACGUGCCAGCCGCCGCAGUAA
rnacentral:rRNA from 1 species